rnacentral:rRNA from 1 species
UACGGAGGGUGCAAGCGUUAUCCGGAUUCACUGGGUUUAAAGGGUGCGUAGGCGGAUAGGUAAGUCCGUGGUGAAAUCCUGCAGCUUAACUGCAGAACUGCCAUGGAUACUAUUUAUCUUGAAUGUCGUGGAGGUUAGCAGAAUAUGUCAUGUAGCGGUGAAAUGCUUAGAGAUGUCAUAGAACACCGAUUGCGAAGGCAGCUCACAAAACUGUAACUGACGCUGAGGCACGAAAGUGCGGGGAUCAAACAGG